AUGGAGCCCAAGAGGUCCUCGCCCCAGGCGCAGCCCCAGCCGCGCGCGGCGACUAAGAAGUCGCCUCCCCGCGCUGCCGCCGCCGACGCCGCCAUCGCCGACUCGCCGCUCAGCAGCCUGUUCCACCCGGCGCCGCACGGGGUAAACGGCAAAGAGCAGGACUUGUACGCCAUUCUCUUCAAGGGGCAGAACGGCAAUGCUCAGGCUAGCAUGACAGAUGGUAAAUCCCAGUGGAGUCCUGCUAGGGGCCGCACAACAUAUACCAAGGAUAUCAAGUAUGACUCGGUUGGUACAUCAUCUUGUUUUGGUUCUUCUGUGCACUAUGGUGGCCGAGAAUAUUAUGGCAGCUCUGCACCUAAGCAAUCCGCGGAAUACAGUGAUUACAAGGUGGAUAAGAAGGAUCCUGUCGCAGAUUCUCAUGGCGAUUGGUGGCAAGGCUCGUUUUACUACUAA
rnacentral:rRNA from 1 species